UAGGGAAUUUUCGUCAAUGGGGAGGACCCUGAACGAGCAAUGCCGCGUGUGUGAAGAAGGUCUUCGGAUCGUAAAGCACUGUUGUAAGUGAAGAAUGCCAUAUAGAGGAAAUGCUAUGUGGGUGACGGUAGCUUACCAGAAAGCCACGGCUAACUACGUGCCAGCAGCCGCGGUAAUACGUAGGUGGCAAGCGUUAUCCGGAAUCAUUGGGCGUAAAGGGUGCGUAGGUGGCACGAUAAGUCUGAAGUAAAAGGCAACAGCUCAACUGUUGUAUGCUUUGGAAACUGUCGAGCUAGAGUGCAGAAGAGGGCGAUGGAAUUCCAUGUGUAGCGGUAAAAUGCGUAGAUAUAUGGAGGAACACCAGUGGCGAAGGCGGCUUACUGGACGGUAACUGACGUUGAGGCUCGAAAGCGUGGGGGAGCAAACAGGAUUAGAUACC
rnacentral:rRNA from 1 species